rfam:Aedes albopictus isolate Foshan contig25746, whole genome shotgun sequence.
UAGCCUAGUGGUUAAGGCUAUGGAUCGCCAAUCCGGAGACGGCGGGUUUGAUUCCCGU